AGCAGCCAGAGAGGCAGGAGCUCCUAAAUCAGGAUGUGAGAAGAAGCCUGACUGCAGCUUCCCACAUAUCUGAAGAAGGACUUUUUGUUGUCCUUGAUUCCUGUAGCAAGCCUGAGCUCGAGUUCUACCUUGGCUUUUCUAGACCGCUCUCUACAGGUGCUGGUGCAUGUGAGGAUGGAUGGGAACCAGCACCUGCUAGAGAGGUGCAAAGUGGUUAUGCAGCUCCAGGGGAGUGGGAGCCCUGGUGCCAUGCCUCUUUGAACCAGAGACAGCCAUCGUUCCAGCAACCCCAGGCUGGACUUCAUGGCAGUUCCUUGGUUCUGCCAUGUUGUCAUCAGUUGUCGGGUGGAAAGCCUGAAAGUAAGAGUCCAGUUCCUGCUCCAUAUCUCUAAUGGAGUGCAGCUGCUAGAUCGUUGCCUGGAGUUCCCUAAUCUGGCACUCCAGUGCCUCUACCAUUGGGCCCACCCCACAUGAGGAGGCAUCAGUGCCCCCAAACCCAGCUGCCUGCAUUCUUGCUAGGCAGCCUCCAAAUGAAGCCAGGGGCUCCAUUUGAGUGGAGUCUAGGGCCAUGGGUCCUGCCCAGGUUGGAGCAGGGACCGCAGGUUUUGUUUGGGUAGAGGCCGAACCAUGUGCUCCAUUUGGGCAGAGACCCCGGUGGUGUCAGAGCAGGGGAGUCCAGGUGCAGGGGGGAGCCUCGGGAUGUGAUGCGUCCUACCCACCAUGGUCCUUGUAGCAGUCUGGUUACUACUAUGCAGACCCUUGGCUACAGCUCAGUGCCUGGAGCCUUGUGCCCUCCUGCUAACUCUCCUGUGCUAACUCCCAUGCUAAUUCGCAUGCUGGGCAGAGAAGCGCACCUAUUUGCACGUCCUGUUCCCGUGGCUCCCUGGGGGGCUGGGUGAAGUAGGAGCUGGGGCAGGAUGAGACCCUCCUCUGCUCCCCACAGCUGUGCUAGCCCCCUCCCACCAUAGGCCCUCUUACCUCCAGCUCUGCCAAGUCAGGUUCCAUCUACCCCCCUGUCCUUUGUUACAGUGAGAGUUGUAGAAAAAGGAAAUUGUGAAAAAAGAAAUUCCUUUCACCUUAUUUGCAUAAUACUAUCCCUAGUGUCCAGCCAUAUAAAAAUCUUUCAGCUGUGUUUCCAUGAACUCAUACCAAGAUUUGUGGCCUUCUAUGGAAAUCCCCAAGCUUUAAUUAGUCCAGGACCAAAUUUUAUAAAUCCAUUCUAGGUCUGUCUAAAAAGAUUCCCAUCAUUUCUCUAAGUAAGAAUCAUGACUGAAAUUACAGUGUGCUGCUUAGAGUGGGAAAGAGCAAAAUGGUCUGGUAAAAAAAAAAAAAGAAAAAAUCCCCUCCUACUCAUAACUCUUCCCUCAAAAAACACCAAACCCAGAGCUAGGUCAGAUUGAAAAAUUGUGCACUUGCAUACUUCUCUCCAUCUCAGCACCUCCUCUCUAUUUCUAAGCCAUUUAUACUCAACACCAGGUAACCAGGGGCUGUCCAACUGGAAUUUUGCAGGCAACAUACAGACCACAAAGGGUUAAUCUGUGGCCCCCAUGUUCCCACUGCAGGUGCUGCUCCCCCAACACUCUUACUGUUGCCACAUGUGUCUUGGUCUCCUGCUUCCUCAAACCAGCUCACACUUACUGCCCUGCAACAGGUGCUAGGGGGUAUGCAGCACACAUGAUGUCUGGCUGCAGGGGCCUGUCUGCCAGCUGCUUCAAAGUUGGACAGCACUGAGUUAGACAAUGGUUUACCUCAUUAAAACAGACUUAAUUGCCACUGAAAUCAAAGCCGUGGCACCUUUCCAUGUCUAAAAUAAGAAAACAGAUUAUACUUAAAAAAAAAAAAAAAAUUGGCUACACAUUGGCCACACUGGUGUAGGCAGUUUUACCCUUAGGAUUGUUGUCAACCCUAGGUGGAGCCUCAGAUGGACCAUGAUUAGCUAAUCUUCUCUUAAAUAGGUAGAAAAUCUGUUUACACUAGUGUAGAAAAUUAAAUGCAAGGAUUUUUUUUUUGUAGUCUAUGUUUCAGCCCUAUUGUUCAAUCUCUGACACAAGUUUAGUAGUGUUAAUUAGUAUUGAGCAAACAGGUAUUUUUACCAUUACAUUUUCUAAACCUGCUCAGAACAGGCUUAGAAACAAGUGUUGAAAACACUGGUGAAUUAUUCUGCACAAGUAUGUGUGUUGUGUGCUGGCAUCAGCGGAGCUAUACUUGCAUUCCAACAACAUAGGGAGUUUCUAAAAAUGCUCUAUAUUAAAGAAGUCUACACUGCAGACCUGCAAUAGCUCUAAAUAAGUUAGUUAGUUUGGAUAUCAGUCACAGGCUAGUUGCAGCUGCAUAGUGCUUUGCAUGGGCUAGUUUACCCUGAUUAGAAUAUAAUUUUCAGAAUCAGAACGAACUGGGCAUCUACACCACAGAACUUUUUGUAGUGCAAAGUGACCCCUAGCAGACAUGCAGGGGUUUAGGUUGUAGCUGUGUUGGUCUAAGGACAUAUGCAGACAAGGUU